AGUGAACGCUGGCGGUAGGCCUAACACAUGCAAGUCGAACGGCAGCACAGUAAGAGCUUGCUCUUACGGGUGGCGAGUGGCGGACGGGUGAGGAGUACAUCGGAAUCUACUUUUUCGUGGGGGAUAACGUAGGGAAACUUACGCUAAUACCGCAUACGACCUACGGGUGAAAGCAGGGGAUCUUCGGACCUUGCGCGAUUGAAUGAGCCGAUGUCGGAUUAGCUAGUUGGCGGGGUAAAGGCCCACCAAGGCGACGAUCCGUAGCUGGCCUGAGAGGAUGAUCAGCCACACUGGAACUGAGACACGGUCCAGACUCCUACGGGAGGCAGCAGUGGGGAAUAUUGGACAAUGGGCGCAAGCCUGAUCCAGCCAUACCGCGUGGGUGAAGAAGGCCUUCGGGUUGUAAAGCCCUUUUGUUGGGAAAGAAAAGCAGCAGGUUAAUACCCCGCUGUUCUGACGGUACCCAAAGAAUAAGCACCGGCUAACUUCGUG
rnacentral:rRNA from 1 species